GGGUAGUUUGACUGGGGCGGUCUCCUCCCAAAGAGUAACGGAGGAGCACGAAGGUUGGCUAAGCAUGGUCGGACAUCAUGCGGUUAGUGCAAAGGCAUAAGCCAGCUUGACUGCGAGAGUGACGGCUCGAGCAGGUACGAAAGUAGGUCUUAGUGAUCCGGUGGUUCUGAAUGGAAGGGCCAUCGCUCAACGGAUAAAAGGUACUCCGGGGAUAACAGGCUGAUACCGCCCAAGAGUUCAUAUCGACGGCGGUGUUUGGCACCUCGAUGUCGGCUCAUCACAUCCUGGGGCUGAAGUAGGUCCCAAGGGUACGGCUGUUCGCCGUUUAAAGUGGUACGCGAGCUGGGUUUAGAACGUCGUGAGACAGUUCGGUCCCUAUCUGCCGUGGGCGUUGGAAGAUUGAAAGGGGCUGCUCCUAGUACGAGAGGACCGGAGUGGACGCACCACUGGUGUUCGGGUUGUCAUGCCAAUGGCAUUGCCCGGUAGCUAAGUGCGGAAGAGAUAACCGCUGAAAGCAUCUAAGCGGGAAACUUGCCUUGAGAUGAGUCUUCCCUGACCCUUUAAGGGUCCUAAAGGAACGUUUAAGACUAAGACGUUGAUAGGUUGGGUGUGUAAGCGUAGCGAUACGUUGAGCUAACCAAUACUAAUGAACCGUGAGGCUUAACCUG
rnacentral:rRNA from 1 species